GACGAACGCUGGCGGCGUGCUUAACACAUGCAAGUCGAACGGUGAAGCGCCUUCCUUUUUGGUGGGUGGGGAUGAGCGGCGAACGGGUGAGUAACACGUGAGUAACCUGCCCCCUUCUUCUGGAUAACCGCAUGAAAGUGUGGCUAAUACGGGAUAUUCUGGGUCUGUCGCAUGAUGGGUCUGGGAAAGAUAUUGUUUCGGUGGGGGAUGGGCUCGCGGCCUAUCAGCUUGUUGGUGGGGUGAUGGCCUACCAAGGCGGUGGCGGGUAGCCGGCCUGAGAGGGUGGACGGUCACACUGGGACUGAGACACGGCCGAGACUCCUACGGGAGGCAGCAGUGGGGAAUAUGGCACAAUGGGCGCAAGCCUGAUGCAGCGACGCCGCGUGAGGGAUGGCGGCCUUCGGGUUGUGAACCUCUUUCGCCAGUGAAGCAGGCCUGCCUCGUUUGUGGGUGGGUUGACGGUAGCUGGAUAAGAAGCGCCGGCUAACUACGUG
rnacentral:rRNA from 1 species